AUCCUUUGCUCUGUUUUUGUCACCUUGAAUCGCCACACACAACUUUUAUUGUUAUUUAUGUUAUUUAUAUACAGCAUGGGACUCUCCUUAUCAGGAGAAACUGAUUACUCAACGCUCCUUACCUGAAGGAUGAACUGAAUAGAAGAGAGUUUGGGAAAAGCUGGUGUUUGAGAAGCAAGACAUAUGAUUCUUCAGACCCUUGAAAGGAGAAAAAGACUCCGGGGAGAAGUUGACAUGAUUGACUCAGUCACGGAGUCAUGUGCUGAAUUCUGAAUUCUAGUUCUGAACACUUGAUCUCAUGAGGGUUGAUAAGGAUUGCUGAAGAACUCCAUCCAAGGACAGAAUCUCCCACUCAGAUCAGAGGCAAAUGUCCUUUCACAGGAGGGCUGCUAGCAAAAAGGCAGGAGGAGGAGAAGGAGGCUGUUGGAGAGAUGAGGAAACUGAGACCUGGUGAAACUCUGAACUUUCCAGCAGGGGCACAUUCCCCAAAGCCCCCUCUUACAAUUGCCAGCCAGCUCUGAGGCACAGCUGGAACCCAAGAGUUUGGUCUCGCCUUCCUAGGACUUGAGCCUGAGCCACUUCUCCUAACUGUUAGAAAUGUGUCUGCUCAGUGCAUGCUUAAUUGGCUUCACUACACAGCCCCAGGGGCUGACUGCAGGCCCAUCACGACC
rnacentral:lncRNA from 1 species